GGAGUCAGUGGCGGGGUUCUCGCCGGUCCUGCGGGUCGCUGCUUGGCUGUGGGUUAGCAGCACCCUGAGCGGAGCGGAAGAGCUGCCCGCCGCCGCGUAACCCCGAGGCCGAGACUCCUGGCCUGGCCUCCUUGGGCCCACGACGCCUGCCCCGCGGAGCGGACCCAUGGGCCUGAGGUUUGUGUGCGGGGCCUCAGGCGAGCGCUGGCGCAGCCUGUCCCCCAUCGUCUGCGCCCUGCGGGCCUGGCCCUCCCCGUGGAAGGACCGCGGGCUUCGGGGCCCCACGCUGGGGGGCUGACUCCUGCCACACACACAGCGGUGGCCGCGGGCCUGGGGCGGCAGCACAGCCAUUCUGCUCGGGCUGCGUGAGCUGACCCCGCUCUCUGUGCACCUACUUUUGCUGCGUUUGGUGCUGAGCCUGAAGUCCCAGGACAGGCGGCUGAGGGGGAAAGAUGGUGUGAAUUGGGUGGGCAGAGACAACUGAAAGCCACAGGACCCGGUUGGCACCUUUUUGGCCGCCUGCGCCUUUGCCUGCAGCCCCGCUCCCUGGGUCACCCGAAGGAGGAGCUGGCGCUCUUUCCGGGCGCAGAAGCACCCGACCCACGCUGGAGGAAACGGUCCCUCUGGGCAGGAGAAGCUUUGGGCCUGGCUGGAGCACACUCACGGAACCACGCCAACGCCUGGCCUGUAGCCAGCUCCCACCUCCCCUCCCACCUUCUAAAAUGCUUGCGGAUCUCACGUGGCCGACCCUAACCAGAUACACAUGGGGAAAGGAAUCAGGUGGCACACAUACCGCCUUUACUCCAUAGAGAACUUCCAAUUGUGGGUAAGAACAAAGCCCCACCUCUUCCUAAUAGAUGCAGUUUUCCACCUGCAGCCAAAAAGACAACCUGUUAUUAGCUUUUUUCCCAGAGGACAGGCAUCUCUAUGAAACUGCCAUUGCAAAAUUUGCCGACAGUGAGAUAACCAGCUCCAUUUUGCUUCUAACCUCCAUGCCCUCCUUGUUUACUGCUGCACGCAGGUUGAACUGUGGGAGGAACUUAGUUUAAAACAAAGAUGAUAACAGCCCUUUCCCAAAGGAAACCUUUCCUGGGGAUUAGCCUGCUUUUGUGGGACCAACAGAUUAGCCACAAGAUUAGAAACUACGGUUGAAGAGUCACGCAGCGGGAGGCUACAGGAUUCUGACCCUCCCCAAACUGCUCCUGGCGAUAACAUCACCAUCGUAAAGCCUAAGAUCAGCACUUGGUGGGUCACCUGGCACCACCCAGGCUCAUCUGAUGUUGUGGCACCCAGGAACUGACUCAGUGCGAAAACAGCUUCGACUCCCUGUGAUUUCAUCUCUGACCUGACCAAUGGGUACUUCUGACUCACUGGCUGCCCCCCACCCACCAGCUUAUCUUUAAAAACUCCAAACCCCAGAUGCUCAGGGAGACCGAGUAAUAAUAAAACUCCAGUCUCCCACACAGCUAGCUCUGCGUGAAUUACCUUUUCUCUGUUGCAAAUGCCCUUUCUUGAUAAAUUGGCUGUCUAGGUAACAGGGAAGGUGAACCCACUGGGCAGUUACACUUUUAUCCACCCUUCCAGCUGGAUCACGCGCCCUCUUCAAUGACAUGACACGCAGCUAGAGUGUAUGAGCUUGCUGCCGGCACCUUCCGUCCUGGAUCGCAUAGCAAGGCCUCAAUGGACAGCCAGGUGCCUGGUCCGGUCCCACUUUUUUUUCUGUCCUGUUCUCGUUUCCUCUUUGCUUGGCCAAAGAGGGUUGGGCCAGGGUCCUGAGUGCAAAGGCUUGGCUUGGUGAAUUAAAGUGGCAGUAGCCGUGUGGCAGAGAAAAUUUGUAGAUGGGUGAAAUCCUGGGCCUACACAGUGACAAAGUGUAUAUAGACAGCCAGCCUAGUUGGUGGAUGUGACAACCCCAGACUCUUCUAGAUUUGUGGAUCCGUGCACCUGCCAGACCUGUCUCUGAGCCAUCUGGGGAGGCUGGGUAAGAUUUCCCCCGUCAGGGCCUGAGCCUCAUCUCCAAGCUGCUGGCUUCAGCCCAGCUGCCACCAGCGCUGUCUCUGUCUUGCGCUUUCCAGAGAGAGACUGACUCAUUUUGAGCUCCAGGCCUACCAGGCAGCCCAACCGCGGCAGUAACUGCCUCUCACACUGAGGAUGGCUCAUGCUCUGGUCCAGCCAUGGCUUGAACACCUCCCAACAAGAACAAAGCCAGACUCAUUCUCCCUAGCAUCUUCUUCCUUGCUCAAAGAUCCCACACCCCGUUAGAAGCUGGAACUGGGUCCUUGUCACCUUCCUCACCUCCCCAGUCGUAGUCUGGUUAAUCCUUACAUCUCACCACGGUCACCGUGGCUAGAUGUGACCUCCGCGAUGCUUCAGGCACGUACCAGGGCAGCCUGGGCAGGGCUGGUCACUGUGAUCUCAUGAGGUGUGAACUUGACCCCGGCCUUCUUUCCUGGGAUGCCGGCUAAGGACACAAGUUCAGUGUUUGCCCUGGCUUGUAGCCCAGCGGGGGCUCCGUCAUCCCCUGGGGAAUGCCUCGGCCUGCAAGACCGCAUACCGCAUUGGAACAGGGAAACCACCUACUUCAGCACCUCCCUCAGCAAGGUGGCAGGUCCCAACAAGCCUUGCACCACGAGGAAGUGGCAGUGGCAUUCGGGAUAUGGCUCCCUGGCCAGCUUGUGAAGUUCAAGGGGCUCGUUACUUCUUACAGCUCACAGUCCCUCCCGGGUCCAGCACACCUGAGGGCUGACCUCCCUCUUGAUUAGUGCAGGGGAAAAGCACUUUAAAAAGCUGUGUCAUGCGUAACUUGCACAUCUUCUGAUUCUGACCUGAAACUGCAUCCCAGGUCGGCACAGACGCAACCCAGUCUCCUCCCACCUCCGAGAGUGCAGUGUCCUGAAUGGAGAACCCCAGCACCCAGAAGCAUCCACUGAAGGACGUAAGUAGGACAAGGCCAACUGUGGCUGUUCCAGCAGAGGGACUGUGGGUGAUGUUUCCCUUCUCUGAUUUCUAAAAUAUCUGCAAACUUGUUUCAUUUAUAAUUGAAAAUAUAAUUUGCAUAACAACAGUAAAUUCUACACAUGAAGGCAAACGUCCGUGGUUGACAGAAAUUACACUGGCCAGAAUCCCCAGUCCCCAUGAGGCUUGUCCAGACGCAGUGAACCAGUCGCAGCUGAUAACACACAGACCAUUCCCGAUCCCAGAGGUGCAUUUCAGGAUUCAUUCUAUUUCAUCAGAGACGGGGUCUUCCUGUGUUGCCCAGGCUGGUCUCGAACUCCUGGGCUGAAGCAAUCUUCCUGCCUUGGCCUCCCAGAGGGUUGGAAUUGCAGAUGUGAGGUACUUCUUUGAUAGUGCCUCCAUGCAUGCAGAAGAUGACGUGGAGAGCUCCGCGCGGCACAGGGCAGGAAGCUGGUGUGCACUCUCAUGGAUCCGAAGCCAACACACGCCUCUCAACUGAGGACUCUGCCCCUCUGGCAUUCUUCCAGCCACCAGCCCUGGGGGCCAGGAGCCACUGAGUGGGUCACACAGCCUUAGAGGGCAACGAGGGCAGGAGCUCGCCCUGGCGGUCCCCAUGCAGACAAGAGGGUCACUGGCUUCCUUGCUUUGCUCUUCCUGGACAUCUUCCUCGACAUUCAUCUUUCCAUCCUACCAAGAGCGUGGAAACCACAGGGCAUGAGGACAGGCGGAGACAACGCUGGACCAUCUCACAGCCACAUCAAGAGGCUGCCCACAUCAGGGCUUUCUACGUGGUUGCAAGGAACACAAACCUGUGUGCUCCAUUUGCCCACUGGCACUAGGCCUCCUGCCCACCACCCGCUUCUAGGCUAUUCGAGCCGCAGGAGCUACAGGCUGCUAGAGAACCCUGCGGCAGGAUGCUGGGCGCGGUUCAGCUUUUGCCAGGGAGCAGCAUGGGACUGGGAUUUGGAAGGUGUACAGUGGCUGCGGGCUUUAGCAGGAGGAGUGUCUACAGCACCUUCUGCUCCUCCAGGUAACCUAGUGUUUUUAUCAGUAUCCAUUUUCCUGUGUGGAUCUCUUCUGCUUGAAACCUGUCCUGCCUAUUUUUCUUCCCUGGACCCUGACUGAUACACUCUUAAAACGAGAAAAGGGUACCGAUUUAUAAAGUUCGUGAAUUAAAAACUACACCAGUCAUGGAAACUCAAUGACAUCACUCAAAGAAAAUUCACAACUCUAGCCUUGAGUUAGCUCCCUCAAUAGUAUGAUGAGGUCAUGCAGAUAGAAUCAUACAGUUAUUAACAAAAGUAGUUGAUGUUAACCGAGUAAUCAGUUUUAUCUGUGUUCCUUUGAGACAGAGAGAGAGAGUGAGAAAGAGAGCGUGAGCAAGUGAGUGCACAUACUAUUGUUAAAGUCUUCUCUCUAAAGUUUUAAUAUCUGAUAUACCAUAAACACCCAGAUAAAGAACUUUAGAGAAACUGGUUAAAAAGAUUUAAAAUUCCCAACUGUAAUAAAUCCCUAAAAUGAAUACCAAAAAAAUGUUUUUAAAUUAAAAAAAGAGAGAGAAAGAGAAAAUGAAGGCAAACAUCUUACUUUGUAGGAAAGCAAACGCCUGUCAUCUUUAUCUAGCACGAAGCCAUCAUUCAGAUCAUCUGCUGACAUAUGUUUUGGUUUCUUAACAUUUUCAUCCUCAUCCUUUCCAAGCAUUCUUCGAAGUCUCUCAGCCUGAGCAGGAAGGAAUGAGAUGUCUUAGAGCACACUCUUCCAACAUAUGGUGAGGGGGCCGUGCAGUCCUGCCCUGGGCAGCGGGCUGGGCCUACGGUCCUCCCAGCUCUGAGGCUGGUGCAUCCAGCCUGCUUUCUGCCUGCAGUUUUCAAUCAGGCAUGCAAACACUAGCUAAGCAGCACAUUCCUCAUUUAACAAAAUCAACUGUUCAAACUUUGUGGCCAAUACUCUCCAGUCACCAGGCAAGCCUAUUAUUCUGAGGCCUUCACAGCCCAAUUCUGCUGGCCAGCCCCGACUGGGACUCAUCACCCCCUGCACCGAGAGAAUAGGAGCCAGGACGCCAAGAGCAAGCAGCUCCACGGCCUCCACUAUUUGACCACACACUGGACACGGGAAGAAGCUAGUGAUGUGGUUAUGUCAAAACAGCCAGCUGAGCCA
rnacentral:lncRNA from 1 species